rnacentral:rRNA from 1 species
AACGAACGCUGGCGGCGUGCCUAACACAUGCAAGUCGAGCGCGAAAAGGGCAACCUGAGUAGAGCGGCGCACGGGUGCGUAACACGUGGGUAAUCUGCCUUAGAGUCGAGGAUAACCUUCCGAAAGGUUGGCUAAUACUCGGUAAGCUUACGGUGUCUUCGGACGCUGUGGGAAAAGUAGGCCUCUGUUUACAAGCUUACGCUCUGAGAUGAGCCCGCGGCCCAUCAGCUAGUUGGCGGUGUAACGGACCACCAAGGCAACGACGGGUAGCUGGGCUGAGAGGACGAUCAGCCACACUGGAACUGAGACACGGUCAAGACUCCUACGGGAGGCAGCAGUGGGGAAUUUUCCACAAUGGGCGAAAGCCUGAUGGAGCAACGCCUCGUGUGUGAUGAAGGUUUUCGGAUCGUAAAGCACUUUCGACUGGGACGAAAAACCUUUGGCUAACAUCCAGGGGCCUGACGGUACCAGGAGAAGAAGCACCGGCUAACUCUGUGCCAGCCGCCGCGGUAAAAC